AACAUGUAGACCCUAAAGCGGCGUAUUUGCGGACGCGGGUUCAAUCCCCGCCGCCUCCACCA
rnacentral:tmRNA from 1 species